AUCGGGUCCUCUAAAUACAGGGUAGUUGGCUCAGGCAUGUGAACUAUAUGCAGUGCUAAGGGCCCUGCUAAAGUUAAAAGAUACAGCAGUACGAACUGCUGAAAAGGGCUGGACACACACUUCCAGGGUUAAGAAGGUGGAAUCCCAAAAGGGCACACCCGAGUGAGAGGUCGUCUUGCCUUCUGGAGACUUGAAGUUAACCCUGCGCAGACCACCACUGAUGACUGAGAUCAACCGGACCAAAUGUCAAGAGCCGGACCGUCCUUGCUAUCCGUUUGUGUCAUUUCAGUGCUAUUAUUCAGGAGUCAUCUUCCUACCCUGUCUGAUCCCUUGCUUUACCUCACUGAUACAUUCAGUUGUACAAGGGAUGCAGAUAGCAGCCAUGACAAUGGAUCCAGAGAUGGCGACAGCAAAGGAUAACCCAGUCUCAAAGAUUAUGAACUUAGAGGAAGAUACCCCACAUAAAUGGGCAGCUAAUGCGCUAGCUCAGUUUGAGAAGCAAAUUGAGCACAACAGGUCAGAACUCAGGGAAUACCAGGAUGAUUGAGAAAGAGGUCACUUGCAUGUAUAUAGAAAUCGACUAAAAAUAAAACAUGUGGGUUUAAUUUUUAGAAUUACCCACGAAUUAAUGUGUCAAUAAAAGAGGUGAGGGAUUUGUUAUGGGUAGUAAUUCGUGGGAAUAAAAGGUGUAUCAAAAUAUAUAUAUAAAUGUAUAAAAUGA